rnacentral:lncRNA from 1 species
UUAAUAAGUGUAUAAUCCUCUUCUUUUAUGUCUAUUUAUUUGCUUCAUAGAUAUUCCCCAAAAGUCAUUGUGCAUCUAGAUUGUUCUAGUCAUACAUAUAAAAGUUCCUCGUUAGUAAUGCUUCGGACAACUUUUCUAAAAAAUUUCUUAUCUUUCGGGGGUCACAUCUUCAUCCAUAAACAUUCCCAAACUCUUGCAAAUCUCUCAUUCCUUCUUGCCAUUUCUCACGCUCAACUGCAUCAAGUUUCAAGGUAAAGAAAUAUUCUAUCUAUUCUUUUCAUUACUUCCAUAAAGCAAAUCCAAACCAUAUGUACUGCAUAAACGACAAUCACAAAAGUGAAAUCCUAAACUGAAUUCUCCCAACUCUUUCUUGUUUAAUUCCAGAAAACACCACAGACAACCACAACCCACACAAUUUCUCAAGAUUAUGAACUGAAUUUCACAAAUACUUUGAUGAUCGAAGGAAACGAGCAAUAAAUUACAGAUCUUGAUACAUAUUGCAAGAACACAGUGAUUUAAUGAUUUACAUAUUUUUAAAUUUGAAUCUACCCUAUCCCUAAUUCUCUAUGUAUGGACAGCUGUUUUGGUUUGAGUCUUUGUCUCGUAUGUCGAGUCGAGGGGUGUCGGGGGCCGAACCAAGGCGGCGGAGCCGCGGUGGCUUCCGUUCUGCCGAAGUAAAGAAAGAGGGAAGGGGAGUUAUUAUUAUGUGUGUGUAUAUAUAGAUGAAAAAAGAAGAAAAACGUAAAACAAAGGGCUUACCUUGAAUAGCGGCGGCGGCUUUUCCUCGCCGUGAGACCGCCAGCGAGGACGAAAGGGGCGGCGCCAGAUAUGGAAAAAAAGAAAAGAAAAAAGGAAGAGUGGCGGCGGCGUGGCCGUUGGGGCUGCUGUUCCGGCCGAAAGAGGGGAGGCGGCAGCGAUUUACGCCGUUCGUCAUGGGAAAGAUGAGAGAGUCAGAGGGAGAGAGAGAGAGAGAGAACCGGAGGAGCGAUGG